ensembl:lncRNA
GGAUCCUUUGAGAGGACUGUGCUUCACCAGAUACACUUUUGUGCUUCCUCACCAAGAAAUAUUAUUCCUUUGCUGGGAGAAAUAUCAAUAACCUCAGAUAUGCAGAUGACACCAACCUUAUGGCAGAAAGUGAAGAAGAACUAAAGAGCCUCUUGAUGAAAGUGAAAGAAGAUAGUUAAAAAGUUGGCUUAAAGCUCAACAUUCAGAAAACUAAGAUCAUGGCAUCUGGUCCCAUCACUUCAUGGCAAAUAGAUGGGGAAACAAUGACUUUCUGUUUUUUGGGCUCCCAAAUCACUGCAGAUGGUGACUGCAGCCAUGAAAUUAAAAGACGCUUACUCCUUGGAAGGAAAGUUAUGACCAACCUAGACAGUAUAUUAAAAAGCAGAGACAUUACUUGGUCAACAAAGGUCCAUCUAGUCAAGGCUAUGGUUUUUCCAGUAGUCAUGUGAGAGUUGGACCAUAAAGAAAGCUGAGCACUGAAGAACUGAUACUUUGCUGAAGAAUUGAUACUUUUGAACCAUGGUGUUGGAGAAGACUCUUAAGAGUCCCUUGGACUGCAAGGAGAUCCAACCAGUCCAUCAUAAAGGAAUCAGUCCUGAAUAUUCAUUGGAAGGACUGAUGUUGAAGCUGAAACUCCAACACUUUGGCCACCCGAUGUGAAGAGGUGACCCAUUUGAAAAUACUCUAAUGCUGGGAAAGAUUGAAGGUGGGAGGAGAAGUGGACAACAGAGGAUGAGAUGGUUGGAUGGCAUCACCAACUCGAUGGACAUGAGUUUGAGUAAAUUCUGGGAGUUGGUGAUGGACAGGGAGGUCUGGCGUGCUUCAGUCCAUGGGGUCACAAACAGUCAGACAUGACUGAGCUACUGAACUGAACUGAAUUGAACUGUAAUGAGAGGUGGGGCCCCAGCAUUGAGAAGCAAUCUACUCACUCCUUCCUUCACUUCACUAGUCAUAAGUACUUAGUGGAACACUUAGAUAUUGUGGCCAUUGUCACCUUUGCGAAACCACCAGCCUAGCCAAUCCCAGCAGAGUUAUAGUGAUAUACAUAUAUCAGGAGAACUUCCCAUAUUUUGGACUCACAAACCAUGAGUCCAAGAUGGUUAGAAGAUGACUCUGUGUUUUUUUUGCCCACAUCUCUCUUCCUGACUCAAGCUGCUGUGCCUCUAGACAUUCUUGUGCCUGCGUGGUAUAUAUCCUUUUCACCUCUGAUCCUGUCUUAUAUUUCCCCAUGUGCAUCUGAGAAACAAAGCCACAGGUUCCUGGUAUGGGCCAACCCAGGUAGAUCCAGCAACUGUUGCAUAGAGACUGCCCUUGCAUCCUCUCCAUUGAAUAUACUGAUUUUCCCAAGUUAGAGAAAAGUAACCUCAGGUUUACUACUUGUGUUUAAG